GUCCCAUUAGAGCGAAUGCAGUGUCAUCCAAUUCUUCAUCCGACAUGAUGAUUCCUGCUGCACCUAGUUGUGGGACGACAGAAUCACCGCCUGAUCCCUCGCAGACAGAGGAGAAGCAAACACAAUGGAUGUGCGCUUAUUCUGGUAAGAGAAGGAGCUCUGUUAAGCGACAGUCAUGAUCCACGGCGCAACAUUCUGGAUUGUCCCUGGAUAAGGUCCUUCGUUCCCUCCUGAGCACACUGUCAAGACUCCCUUUUUCAACCCGUGGAAGGCCCCAAUGGCCAUAGUAUCUUUGCUGAAGCUGCG